AUGGGAUCCGUCCGAUUCCCCGCUCCGUUUCCACGUGGGAUUUCCCCUAUUCCCGGCCACGCCCCCAGAUGGGAUCCGCCCGUCUCCCCGUCACGCUCCUGUGGGGGACUACCCCAUUUCCCAGCCACGCUCCCCGGUGGGCUCUUCUCGAUUCCCCGCUGCGUUUCCGGGGGAUUUCCCCGAUUCCCAGCCGUGCUUUCGGAUGGGAUCUCCCCUUUCCCCAGCCCACGCUCCCCGAUGGGAUCCGUCCGAUUCCCCCCCCGGCGGCCGCGGGAGUGGGGUCUCCUGGGUUUCGGGGGAAACCGGGAGGGGGCCGGGGGGACAGGAGUGAGGGGAAUAGGGCCAUCGGGAAGUCCCAGGGUCGAGCGGCGCGCCACCCCCCACCCUCCAGGGCCCCCCCCGGGUGGGAGGCGGGCCACCCCCUCACCCCGCCGUCGUGACAGUGCCGGGCCUGACCCCACCGUCGUUGUCGCUUCCAGCUCUGCCGUCUCCCGGUCCGGGCCUCCUGGGGUUCCCCGGCUCCGCGGCCUCGUCUCCGGCCCCGGCCCCGGGCGGCGGCCCCGCCAAGCCCGGCCCGCAGACCCCGCCGCCCGCGCCGGGCCCCGGCCCGCCCGACAGGGAGCCGGACAAGAAGCCGCCCGGACCCGGCAAGGUCCGCAGGAUCAAGGAGGAGGAGCCGGACGCCCCCCACCCGGAGAAGCCUCCCAGGAGAGAGGAGAAGGUGGCGCCGGGCCCGGGCGGACCAGGCCCGGGCGGGGAGAACAGCCGGCUCCCGGCCCCGCAGGGCCCCGACGGGCCGGCCCUCCUCGGCGGCCAGUUCCUGCCCUACUUCCUCCCCGGCUUCGCCUCCUACCUGGCCCCCCAGCUGCCCGGGGCCGGGCCGGGCGGGUACCUGCCCCCGGCCUGCGGCCUCGAGGGCCUCUUCCCGUACGGGCCCGUGGGCUCGCCGCCGGCGCCCCCGGCCGGGCCGGGCCCGCGGCCGGAUCCCCCGGCCCCGCGGCCCCGGGCCGCCCCGGCCAAGCCGCCGGCCCCGGACGGCGCUGA
rnacentral:lncRNA from 1 species